rnacentral:rRNA from 1 species
AGGACGAACGCUGGCGGCGUGCUUAACACAUGCAAGUCGAGCGGAAAGGCCCUUCGGGGUACUCGAGCGGCGAACGGGUGAGUAACACGUGAGUAAUCUGCCCCUAGCUCUGGGAUAGCUCCGGGAAAACCGGGAUUAAUACCAGAUACGACCACUUUAGACAUCUUCUGUGGUGGAAAGAACUUCGGCUAGGGAUGAACUCGCGGCCUAUCAGCUUGUUGGUGAGGUAACGGCUCACCAAGGCGACGACGGGUAGCCGGGCCUGAGAGGGCGACCGGCCACACUGGGACUGAGACACGGCCCAGACUCCUACGGGAGGCAGCAGUGGGGAAUAUUGCGCAAUGGGCGAAAGCCUGACGCAGCGACGCCGCGUGGGGGAUGAAGGCCUUCGGGUUGUAAACCCUUUCAGCAGGGACGAAGCGAAAGUGACGGUACCUGCAGAGAAGCGCCGGCUAACUACGUGCCAGCAGCCGC